UACGAAGGGGGCUAGCGUUGUUCGGAAUUACUGGGCGUAAAGCGCACGUAGGCGGAUAUUUAAGUCAGGGGUGAAAUCCCAGAGCUCAACUCUGGAACUGCCUUUGAUACUGGGUAUCUUGAGUAUGGAAGAGGUGAGUGGAAUUCCGAGUGUAGAGGUGAAAUUCGUAGAUAUUCGGAGGAACACCAGUGGCGAAGGCGGCUCACUGGUCCAUUACUGACGCUCAUGCACGAAAGCGUGGGGAGCAAACAGG
rnacentral:rRNA from 1 species